GGACUACCAGGGUUUCUAAUCCUGUUUGCUCCCCAUGCUUUCGCACCUCAGUGUCAGUAUUAGGCCAGAUGGCUGCCUUCGCCAUCGGUAUUCCUCCAGAUCUCUACGCAUUUCACCGCUACACCUGGAAUUCUACCAUCCUCUCCCAUACUCUAGCCAACCAGUAUCGAAUGCAAUUCCCAAGUUAAGCUCGGGGAUUUCACAUUUGACUUAAUUGGCCACCUACGCGCGCUUUACGCCCAGUAAAUCCGAUUAACGCUUGCACCCUCUGUAUUACCGCGGCUGCUGGCAC
rnacentral:rRNA from 1 species